GUGAAUCUUCAAAGUCGGCUCGUUGGAUUGUGCUGGUGGGCAGCCACAUGUGCACAUCUGCGGGUCGCAAAUCCACACACCUGUGCAUCUAUGACUCUGAGUGCCGCUUUGCAUGGCCCUUGAUUGGACCUGGCACUCGAGUACUUUUCACACACUCUUGAAUGUAACGGAAUGUCAAUGUUGUGCAUAAUGUACAAACGAAA
rnacentral:misc_RNA from 1 species